rnacentral:rRNA from 1 species
CCUACGGGGCGCAGCAGUGGGGAAUAUUGCACAAUGGGGGAAACCCUGAUGCAGCGACGCCGCGUGAGCGAAGAAGUAUUUCGGUAUGUAAAGCUCUAUCAGCAGGGAAGAAAAUGACGGUACCUGAGUAAGAAGCUCCGGCUAAAUACGUGCCAGCAGCCGCGGUAAUACGUAUGGAGCAAGCGUUAUCCGGAUUUACUGGGUGUAAAGGGAGCGCAGGCGGUCUGGCAAGUCUGAUGUGAAAUACCGGGGCUCAACUCCGGGACUGCAUUGGAAACUGUCAGACUGGAGUGUCGGAGAGGCAG